CGUGUGUUAAGUCCUACUUUCUUGUCAGUUUAUGUGAUAAGUGUGGUGUUUUCUUUCAGAGCACACUGUGUUGUUGUAGAGGGAAGCCGGCUCAGAUCGAUACAGUCACACUGUUAGCCGUUUGGAUUUGGCUUUUCUUAAUUGGGGAUCCGUAGUGUGUAUCUGUGCGUGUUUGUGUGUUGUCAGACACAAGGACCGUUAUGUGUGCAAAGUCAUUUUCAUGUUGAUAAGGCUGCUUGGACUGAUAUGAGAGUGCAUUGCAAAGCAGGGAUGUGUGCAUUGCUCUAUGGAUUUGUAUGAAUGUAUGUAACUUGUGUGUGUUUGUGAGUGUUUGUUGUUGUGUGCGUGCGAGGUAAUGAUUAGCCUUCUCUUAAUGGGAAAAUAACGUCAGAGCCACUGGGACGUUUAAUCCAUCUGAGCUGAUUCUGUUUCCAUCACAGCUAUUGAUCAACUCCAGUGACAAAUCAACAGGGGGGUUACUAGUGUGUGUUUCUGUGUAUGUGUAGAGAAUCAAAGCCAGCGUUUUACUAUGUCACAACAUGAACCCCUAUUGCAACACUAGACUCCAAUAGGGUACUUUCCCACUUUUAUUUUCUUCCAUUUCUUGUUCCCUCCUUUAUUUGUUUUUCAUACCGUUUCUUCUCUGGGGUUGUUUAAUCUUUAGAUCCUACUUUCUACUAUUCUCCCAUCCUCUGCGCUCCUCCCUAUCUUCUAUCUCAAGUCUUUAAGUGGUAUUGGCUUUAAAGGGGCAGCAAAUCAGUUGCUGAUUAAUACGGAAUUUUGGUGGCCAUUUGUCUGCACCACUACCCCUGUCUGUGUCAACCCCCUCCCCGCCCCUCCUUUCCCCGCUUCUCCUGCUCUACCCCUCCUCCUGUUCUCCUUCCCAAGGCGGUGAUGAAUGAUCGGCCGAUUGCCGAGGGAUUAGAGUCGUCACGGUUACCUGUGCUUUGACAAAGUGGUCCUGAUUGGUGACCAAGGAACUCCAUGUGGGGGUCAUAUCUCAGAAUGGACUAGAGUUGGGUUAUGUGUAUGUGUUUAGUCUCAUUUGAACCUACGUGUGGUCCGAACAUCAGGAAGGGGCCAAGGGUGAGCUGCUGCUCCCUUGGACACUGAUGCUGCACGACAGAGAUUGGCGAGGUCCCGGCAGCAAUGUGACCAUGCUGACACCGGAGAACCCUCUAAACGGGUGCUGGUGGACACUGAUGAAUCGGCGGUCGGAGGAAUCGAAUGCAGGCCUAAUCAGUGCAUGGAUCUCCCUGCAGCAACAUUUUUCAGUUUUGUCCUGCCUUAUCAGGUGAAGGCCAUCAGGUACAUGGUGGCUCAAGGCCUGGGUUUGAUUCCUGGCCCCUUUCUGAAUGGAGUUUGCAUGCCUCCCCUAUGAAUGCCUGGUUUCUCUCCAGGUACCUUGGCUUCCUCCCACAGUCAGUAAAAAGCACCCCUCAGGUGAUGCAGCACUUUAAGGGUUAAGUCGGCAGCAUACUGGAUCUCUGCAGAGGUGACAGAUGCUUCCUAUCCCACCCAGCACCACAGGGGAACGGGAGACACUCAGCAUACCAAUGAGCCACCGUCUGACACACACGCGUGCAGACACACAUGCACAUUUAUAUGCAAGCAUGCACACGGACACACAUAUGCACAGGAACACGCCGACUUGGACACACACACUUCACCUUCUGGGCUAUAUAAAAGAUGUCAUAUUUAUGAUAAUCAGCUGUAUGAGCAUCAUUUAUGCAUCUUCUUGAUUUGUAUGAAUGUAAUAAAACAAAUAGAUGUGCAUGACUUCUCUUCCAGCAGGAGUCAAAAAGAUGUGAUCUUUUGUCUCAACACAUGACCUUUUAUAGAGGGCCGUCGCACACGACAGCCAGGAACACUGGCAUAAAUACAGAUAGUCUCAAGCAUAUGGUCCAAACACAGUACAUACACACAGGCAGACACAUACACACGCAAUAAAAGUGACAGCUGUCGUCAUGAUGGAGCACCCAAAGAAGAGGAAGUGAAGGCUUAGGCACCACGCAACAUGGUGUCGAGAAGACCCGCUAUUCAUUUUCAGCUUAAUAUGUUCCAGCCCAUUGGAAAAACAUUGCAGCAUAUAAUGUAAGCAAUUUCAUAUGCGCACACGGCUCCCACACAGCUUUCCUCUCCGAAGCACCGGGCGAAAUGAAGAGACCAGAUUAAGAUGAUGGUUGACUGACUUCAAAAAUAACCCAGAGCCUGAACAGGGUGGGGAGAUGUCCAGUCGUGUGUAGCAUCAAGAAAACAUCUAAACUUC